GACGAACGCUGGCGGCGUGCUUAACACAUGCAAGUCGAGCGAUCGGCCUUGGAGGGGUAACCCUCCUUGGCACGGGGCGGCGAACGGGUGAGUAACACGUGGGCAACCUGCCCCAGGCUCUGGAAUAACCCCGGGAAACCGGGGCUAAUGCCGGAUACUCUCGCCGGGUCACAUGGCCUGGCGAGGAAAGAAUUUCGGCCUGGGAUGGGCCCGCGGCCUAUCAGCUUGUUGGCGGGGUAACGGCCCACCAAGGCGACGACGGUAGCCGGCCUGAGAGGGCGACCGGCCACACUGGGACUGAGACACGGCCCAGACUCCUACGGGAGGCAGCAGUGGGGAAUCUUGCGCAAUGGGCGAAAGCCUGACGCAGCGACGCCGCGUGA
rnacentral:rRNA from 1 species